rnacentral:ribozyme from 1 species
UUUUUUUUUUUUUUUUUUUUUUUUUUUUUUUUCUUCC